CCAGACUCCUACGGGAGGCAGCAGUGAGGAAUAUUGGUCAAUGGCCGCAGGGCUGAACCAGCCAAGUCGCGUGAGGGAUGACGGUCCUAUGGAUUGUAAACCUCUUUUGUCAGGGAGCAAAGGGCGCCACGUGUGGCACUUUGCGAGUACCUGAAGAAAAAGCAUCGGCUAACUCCGUGCCAGCAGCCGCGGUAAUACGGAGGAUGCGAGCGUUAUCCGGAUUUAUUGGGUUUAAAGGGUGCGCAGGCGGAGGUGCAAGUCAGCGGUCAAAUUGCGGGGCUCAACCCCGUACUGCCGUUGAAACUGGCGGCCUCGAGUGGGCGAGAAGUAUGCGGAAUGCGUGGUGUAGCGGUGAAAUGCAUAGAUAUCACGCAGAACUCCGAUUGCGAAGGCAGCAUACCGGCGCCCGACUGACGCUGAGGCACGAAAGCGUGGGUAUCGAACAGGAUUAGAUACCCCCGUA
rnacentral:rRNA from 1 species